UAUAUCAGCUUGUAUAUCACUGUCGUAAGAUUAUUUUAUAAGAAAUUUUUCAGUAAUAAUUUUUUAUUUAUGUCAAGUCAAGGUGCAGUAAAUGUUUAGGGUUGAGAUGGGUUACAUUGUAGGUUUAYAYACGGAUGUAGAUUUGUAAUAUUUAUUAAAGGUGGAUUUAAUUGUAAUAUGGAAUUAAUUAUUUUAUAUGG
rnacentral:rRNA from 1 species